rnacentral:lncRNA from 1 species
GAGAACACCGUGGAGGAGACAGGCAAGAAGAAGCAGGGCAUGCGGGAGAAAGAAUGUACUCUCCCUGAGACAGUGGAGAAGGAAAAGCUAAAGGCCAAAUAUCCAAGCCUAGGACAAAGGCCUGGGGGCCCAGCUUCCUUAUGAAGGGACUCCGAAAAGGGAAAAAGUACUUUGCCUCAGGAGACUACAACAUGGCCAAAGCCAAAUAGGAGAAUAAGCAGCUGCCAAGUGCACAACCAGACAAGAACCUGAUGACUGGUGACCACAUCCCCACCACACAGGAUCUGCCCAGAAAAUCCUCACUCAUCACCAGCAAGCCAGCGGGU